UAUGAAAUGUAAAAUCAAUAUCUUCAUUGAAAUUCUCAAAGCAAAAUCCAUAUUACAAAUAUGUAAUGAAUCGAAAAGAACCGAACAAAACUUAUAUACGAUAAACAUACAUGAUGUAAUUAGAGACUCGUAUAUUGCAAGUCCAACUUCAUUGGGUUUUUUUUUUGUUUCAUUUGAAUUGAUCUGUAACAUUCAAAAGUUCAAAUUUACAGCGUCCCAUGUAACAUUUUCUACAAUUGAAAACCGACAUUUGAUAUAAAAUCUAAUGCUCACCAUCAAGCUUUAAACAUGUCUCUACGAUUUAUACCUACUAUCGCCAAAGUUGAGGCCAUUUCAUUUCCUUUCUUAUCUGCCAUUGAAAAUACAACACUACCUACCUUUUCAAUUUUCCUCUCAAUAUCUGCAAAUGUUGAUUGUACUGACCAUGGUCUCAUU
rnacentral:lncRNA from 1 species